CGGGGUGAGUAAUGUAUGGGGAUCUGCCUGAUGGCGGGGGAUAACUACUGGAAACGGUAGCUAAUACCGCAUAAUGUCUACGGACCAAAGCGGGGGACCUCCGGGCCUCUUGCCAUCGGAUGUGCCCAGAUGGGAUUAGCUAGUAGGUGGGGUAACGGCUCACCUAGGCGACGAUCCCUAGCUGGUCUGAGAGGAUGACCAGCCACACUGGAACUGAGACACGGUCCAG
rnacentral:rRNA from 1 species